UACGUAGGGGGCAAGCGUUGUCCGGAUUCAUUGGGCGUAAAGAGCGUGUAGGCGGCCAGGUAGGUCGGUUGUGAAAACUGGAGGCUCAACCUUCAGAGGUCGACCGAAACCAUCUGGCUAGAGUCCGGGAGAGGAGAGUGGAAUUCCAGGUGUAGCGGUGAAAUGCGUAGAUAUCUGGAGGAAUACCGGUGGCGAAGGCGGCAUCCUGGACCGGCAUUGACGCUGAGGAGCGAAAGCCAGGGGAGCAAACGGG
rnacentral:rRNA from 1 species